CACUGUAAAAUCAUAUUCUUGUUUAGGUUAGUAAGAAAGCCCUUAAUUAUCCAGAACGUGUGUUCUGAGAGUUCAGUGAAAACAGAUUCUGAGUUAAGUAUUUCAAAGAAGAAAAUAAAUCUAAUUAAAUAGUAAUGCAAAAUAAAUUGAUGUAAGUAGGCCUAUGUUUAAGAACUAUUUAAAGAGUUUCAACUAACUGUUCAAAUCGUGCCUUUAAAGAUUAGUUUGGGUUAAUAUCCUAAGUAAGCAGUUCAGAAGUGAAUAACGAAACAGUCAUAUUACAAACCAGCAUCUAUAUUAUAUGUCGCAGACUUUAGGCAAUCAUUGCAUGUGAAACAUGUGCAUACUUUACUGACAACAGCACCUGUUUGAAGUGUGAUCCUCAGAUAACUACUGAACACGAACAAAUCACAGGUUCGUCCAUCUGAGGUGAAGCAUAGAACCAGAAAAGGAACCAGGUAAGCCAAGUUCAGCCGGCUCGCAAUUAGAUGUGGUAAAUAUUUUUGCCCUUGAUGGACUCUAAACCGGGGGCCUGUUGCACAAUAGUAGAAUGAAGAAAUCCAGGAUAACGCGCAUCGCGGCGUAAUCGGUUGCACGUUUACCAAGCCAGGAUGAGAAGGUGAAGCUAUGUCAAGCCAGGUGUAGAUAGUGGGGAUAAGUGCACUUUCUUAAACAGACCACGGUAUCGAUCACAGAUUUACUGAUGCAGAGAUGGAGAAGACGCGUGCGGCAUAUUUUUCACCCGCUGAGCAGCAAUUAUGGAAAGUUACGAGGAGGUAAAGCAUAUAAUAUGCAGAAAAGGAAAUACGGCUGCUGUUAUUAAACAGAGAGAAAAAGCAUGGCAGACAAUAGCGGACCGACUGAAUGCAACCAAUGUGACUGGGCAAAAAAAGAACCUGGCAACAAGUCAAGAUCAAAUACGAAAACAUUUUGCAGUCUGGUGGAAGGGGCUGCUGCAGCUGAGGAUGAGGAGACUGUGUCACUGGACUCCAGAAGGCCUGAGGUAUCAUGUCAAUCUUAUGGAAAUGCAUAUUUAGCACAUAAUGGAUGAGAAGUCAGUGAUGUAGCACUCAGAAAUUUAUGUAACAGGAUCCAAACGCAGUACAGUCUGACAGCCAGCCUGGCAACAUAGUAAGUAUGGGCUAAUGGGAAUCUAAAUUAUACACAAUUCCUGUUGUGUUAAUCAAUGGGUGGUUUACAGAAUUCACAAACUGUAAGAUGUCUGUAUACACGACAUCUGAAAAAGCAAAUGGAGCUGGCAGAUUGCUAGUUAGCAAAAGGACUCCCCAGGAUCUGGACCUUGGUAUAGAAAUCAAGAAACACUGAGGAAACUGGAUCUGGCGAUACAGAUACUAGAAAAAGUUAGUGACUUCAAUCCACACUGUAUGCAUAUCUGUAAAACAAUGUAUUAAUCGUGUUUUUCUUUUUCUCUCCCAAGCUCCAAACUGACAAGUGA